rnacentral:rRNA from 1 species
UGGUGUGGGUUAGGGUAGGAGAGGGGACCAGCAGGGCUAGGUGUGGUCGGCGGUGUGUUGGGAUCGGGGAAAGGGGAGCUAGGGGUGUCGGGGAGGGAGGAGGAGCGAGAGGCGGUACCGGAGACGUGAUCCUCGGAGAGGUACCGGAGGAUGGGUAGGGGGGGUGGUGGUGUCCACGUGUGUCUGCCACCUAGACACGGCCUCUUCUCGUCGAGGUCAAUACCACCCCAUGUAGACACGGCUUCUACUUCCUCCAGGCGGCGGGCAGAAACGGAGGAGCGACGCAGGAACAACGACGAGGAGGAGAGAGAGAGAGGCGUGGAUCGUCACGUCGUCGGCCCUGUUCCCCUUCCUCGUCGAGUUGGGCCGAGGUAGAGAGAGACCUACUCGUCCACCGCUCCCUUCGGCGGUGUCGAUCGCCGCCACGACGUGUCCUUGCAGGUGGAGGUCCAGAGGUAGGACAGAGUCUAGGGAAAGGCAAAGUCACAACAAGAAAAAAGAGAACCACACGCGAGAGGACGUAGAGCGCGCCGUCCCUCACCACCACUGAUCGUAUCUUCCGCCUCCUCCAGUAACCUCGGCCGAAGGGAAGGCGAAACCGACGGUUCGAGGCGCGCAACCACAAACUACUUUCAAGUCAUUCCGAAACUCCCUUAUGGUUUGUUCUCUCCUAGGUCAUAGACAUUGUACGUAGUCUAUAUCUAACGGCCGCCCACCUAUAUAACGAGUUUUCUACAGUGAUCACGACAUGACGACAUCUACGGUAACUAAAGUAUAUAGUUUCGUAAUGUCGAGAAAGUCUAGGAAACAUAAAGGUGAAUCAAUCGAACUUUUAGAACAGAUGAUGCCUGUGGAGAACUUUUAACGUUUCCUCAAGAUUGAGGGUUGUUCGAAUAAAGGAAUUUUUUACAUUGACCAUGUUACAAGAUGCAUGGAAUACUCUCCAGUCGGGGCCGUAGUGUCAGGUAAGGACUUCUUCAAGUGUACGUACCACAACUAACAACUCAAACGAACCAAUUGCCUUACUGUACGGAUACGUCUAGUCGUCCCCCUUCCAGGUCCCACUUUGGAAGUCCUCCCUAAACUACAACGAUAACAAAGUCAAACGUCUAUCUCCUACACUAAGGUCGUUCUGUCUCUGCUACCGCUACUGUUCACUCUAAAUACAAUUCCUCAUAAUCGUAUACGAGUGUCCUAGUGACCUUCAAAUAUUUACAUAGGCGUUACUAACAACGAAAGAAUAACUGUGUAUUAACUUAAUAUUAAUAUCUGUCAUUCUCAUCAACAGAAAAGUAAACAAUCUUUUGUAUCACAUGGAAAUAUUAGCAUCAAUAUACGUUACUAGGUAGUACAUAAAAACAAAUUUUGACGUUGGGCAUUAACAAACUACAGUAAUUUACAGAGAGAGAGAGAGAGAG